GAUGAACGCUGACAGAAUGCUUAACACAUGCAAGUCAACUUGAAUUUGGGUUUUUAACUUAGGUUUGGGUGGCGGACGGGUGAGUAACGCGUAAAGAACUUGCCUCACAGUUAGGGACAACAUUUGGAAACGAAUGCUAAUACCUGAUAUUAUGAUAAUAGGGCAUCCCAUAAUUAUGAAAGCUAUAAGCGCUGUGAGAGAGCUUUGCGUCCCAUUAGCUAGUUGGAGAGGUAACGGCUCACCAAGGCGAUGAUGGGUAGCCGGCCUGAGAGGGUGAUCGGCCACAAGGGGACUGAGACACGGCCCUUACUCCUACGGGAGGCAGCAGUGGGGAAUAUUGGACAAUGGACCAAGAGUCUGAUCCAGCAAUUCUGUGUGCACGAUGAAGUUUUUCGGAAUGUAAAGUGCUUUCAGUUGGGAAGAAAUAAAUGACGGUACCAACAGAAGAAGUGACGGCUAAAUACGUGCCAGCAGCCGCGGUAAUACGUAUGUCACGAGCGUUAUCCGGAUUUAUUGGGCGUAAAGCGCGUCUAGGUGGUUAUGUAAGUCUGAUGUGAAAAUGCAGGGCUCAACUCUGUAUUGCGUUGGAAACUGUAUAACUAGAGUACUAGAGAGGUAAGCGGAACUACAAGUGUAGAGGUGAAAUUCGUAGAUAUUUGUAGGAAUGCCGAUGGGGAAGCCAGCUUACUGGACAGAUACUGACGCUGAAGCGCGAAAGCGUGGGUAGCAAACAGG
rnacentral:rRNA from 1 species